rnacentral:rRNA from 1 species
GUGCCAGCCGCCGCGGUAAUACGUAGGGUGCGAGCGUUGUCCGGAAUUAUUGGGCGUAAAGAGCUCGUAGGCGGUUUGUUGCGCCUGCUGUGAAAACCUGGGGCUUAACUUCGGGAUUGCAGUGGGUACGGGCAGACUAGAGUGUGGUAGGGGUAAUUGGAAUUCCUGGUGUAGCGGUGGAAUGCGCAGAUAUCAGGAGGAACACCGAUGGCGAAGGCAGGUUACUGGGCCACCACUGACGCUGAGGAGCGAAAGCGUGGGUAGCGAACAGGAUUAGAUACCCUUGUAGUCC